UACGUAGGUGGCAAGCGUUGUCCGGAUUUAUUGGGCGUAAAGCGCGCGCAGGUGGUGCGGUAAGUCUGCCGUGAAAUCUCCCGGCUCAACUGGGAGGGGCGGUGGAGACUGCCGGACUGGAGGGACUCAGAGGCCGGUGGAAUUCCCGGUGUAGUGGUGAAAUGCGUAGAGAUCGGGAGGAACACCAGUGGCGAAGGCGGCCGGCUGGGGUGCCCUGACGCUGAGGCGCGAAAGCGUGGGGAGCGAACCGGG
rnacentral:rRNA from 1 species